GCACAAGUCUUCCCUCUACCGAUCCACAUUUUGUAGCGUGGUUGGAGCACAGUGCGUUAGCGAACAGCAAGUUA
rnacentral:lncRNA from 1 species